ensembl:lncRNA
GAACAAUUACAGUAACUCCGAGCAGCGCAGGCAUAAAGCUCCUGUAUUUACUCUGAAAUUGUGCCAGGUUUUCUCUGGCUCGCUGAUGGAAAGAUGCAUUUCUUCUUUGAUUAGUUUCAAAUAGUUCAGCCUGGCUCGGCUGGAACAAGGUUAUUUCAGCAACAAACGGGGGAGAAAUAAGCUACCAUGCAGAGGUGUGCAUACACUAUAUGCUUGCUGUAUAGGAGCACGCUGAGGCCCACCUCCUUCCUUCCUGCAAAGGUCGGGCAGCUGGAGGCAGUGACACCAGGUGAAGCUGAGCAUGCUCAUCACUUGGGAAACCCAGGCCCCUGGUGAUCUUCUCUGACGUUAAUUGACUGUCAGACCCUGCAAGAGGGGAGGCAACACCUUUCCUGAUCUGUGGUCUGGAGUAGUGUUUUCCAGACUCUGGAGUGAAUUUCACGUUGUUGCAAAGGAAACGAUGAUGCAGUCCUCCAGCAGCUGCUGUGCUCCAGCAUCCUUGCAAAGGUACACUAUGUACUUUGUGGGUGUAUGUGUGUAUGCAAGCUGCAUAUUCAAAACCCCUAUUUUUCAUAAGACAGGCGGGCCUCCAGGUCUCCCCUCCAGACCUACCUUCCUAUCCCCAACAGAAACGCUGCUAAGGGUUGCCCCCAGCAAAACUGAAGCUAUCAUCCUGAAAGAGAGCGCUUGAAAAAGCAAGCUUUUAUGUGAGACUGCUGGGGGUGUGAUCUCAUUUUCCUACGUGCCAGAUCUAUGAGUCCUGUACCUCAAGUGUGGAAAGGUUCCUCAUUAGUGCAAGUGAAACGGCAAGAGCAAUGUUCUGAAUGAAUAUAUGGUGAUGAGUCUGGAAGAUCGGGCAACUGUUGUCUUUGAAUAGGCAAAUCUAAUUGAUGAACCCAUGAGUCUGCUGAUGGAAUUAACCUGGUUUAAUUAAUUACUCCCUCUUGGUGAAGCUGCAAAAACUGACUGUAGUGUGCUUUAGUCUUUUAGUUUUUAAAAUCAAUCACGUUAAGGAAAAGCGAACAAGUUUGGUUCGGAGAAUGGAAGGGCUGUUACGUGGUCAGUGUAUAUGGCUCUGCAGGUGCCCGGUGAACUGUUGAGCUCCAGAAAGUAAAUCCUGCAUGCUGGCCUGUCUGUGCUGGGGGUGUACUUAGCAGCGAUGGCUCCGUGCCUUCAUGCCCAAGCUCUUAGUUCAGCAGAAACAAACCACCAUGCCUAACAUAGAUGGGAUGAAGAUUUGCUUCAGGAAGGGUAUGGGAGCUGUUGGGUCACAGCCUGAACCACUGAUUGAGCAGCUGGGGAAAGGACCCAGUCAGGCCUGGGAGCACAGGUGAAGGCAAUUCAGCUGCAUGAGC